AGAAAAGUAAGCUAAGGUUUAAGCUAAUGGGUUCAUACCCCGUAAAUAGAGUGAUGCUCUCUUCUCUG
rnacentral:tRNA from 1 species